rnacentral:rRNA from 1 species
CGACUCUCGGCAACGGAUAUCUUGGCUCUCGCAUCGAUGAAGAACGUAGCGAAAUGCGAUACUUGGUGUGAAUUGCAGAAUCCCGUGAACCAUCGAGUCUUUGAACGCAAGUUGCGCCCGAGGCUAUCCGGCCGAGGGCACGCCUGCCUGGGCGUCACGCCUCGCGUCGCUCC